UGCUGCAAAUGACUACAGUUUAUACAAACUACAGAAAAUGAGCCCGAUGAGGCUGAUGUUAACGUAACGUUACAUGUUCUCUGCACAGGCCCCAUGUGUCCGGUUGUGAGCCUCCAGAUAAUGUGUCCAUCAGCUUUGUUGAUCACUCUGG